UACGUGGGGAGCAAGCGUUGUUCGGAUUUACUGGGCGUAAAGGGCGCGUAGGCGGCCACCGCAAGUCGACUGUGAAAUCUCCGGGCUUAACCCGGAACGGUCAGCCGAUACUGCGGGGCUAGAGUGCAGAAGGGGCAACUGGAAUUCUCGGUGUAGCGGUGAAAUGCGUAGAUAUCAGGAGGAACACCGGUGGCGAAGGCGCACACCUGGCCCGAUACUGACGCUGAGGCGCGAAAGCUAGGGGAGCAAACGGG
rnacentral:rRNA from 1 species